UGGGGAAUAUUGGACAAUGGGGGCAACCCUGAUCCAGCGAUGCCGCGUGUGUGAAGAAGGCCUUAGGGUUGUAAAAUCCUUUCGUGGGGGACGAUAAUGACGGUACCCCAAGAAGAAGCUCCGGCUAACUUCGUGCCAGCAGCCGCGGUAAUACGUAGGGACCAAGCGUUGUUCGGAUUUACUGGGCGUAAAGGGCGCGUAGGCGGCGUGGUAAGUCAUCUGUGAAAUCUCCGAGCUUAACUCGGAACGGUCAGAUGAUACUGCUGUGCUAGAGUACAGAAAGGGCAAUCGGAAUUCUUGGUGUAGCGGUGAAAUGCGUAGAUAUCAAGAGGAACACCUGAGGCGAAGGCGGGUUGCUAGGCUGAUACUGACGCUGAGGUGCGAAAGCGUGGGGAGCAAACAGGAUUAGAUACCCGUGUAGUCCCUGAGCGGGCUGGCAAGGCGCAU
rnacentral:rRNA from 1 species